rnacentral:snRNA from 1 species
GUAUGUGAGGGUGAUCUGGCUGCAAUGAUGUACUCCAUUGAUUGGAGUACAUGAUCUGGCUGAUCUGGCUGGCUUAGGUCGGUGUCCCCUCCCUUCUGCACCACUCCAUGUGUGUCCCUGCAGAAACUGCAUGUAAAGGUGGGCCAGUCUAUGGUCUAGAGUAUGUAAGUAGCUGUGCUUCCCUGCUAAGACUUCCAAACAAGCUCUCAAGAAUGUGAGGUUUGCUGGUUGGCUCUGUAGUAGAGCACAUGCUCAAUAGGCAGGAGUCCCCGGGUUCA